rnacentral:rRNA from 1 species
UGGUGGGUAGUUUGACUGGGGCGGUCUCCUCCUAAAGAGUAACGGAGGAGCACGAAGGUUGGCUAAUCCUGGUCGGACAUCAGGAGGUUAGUGCAAUGGCAUAAGCCAGCUUGACUGCGAGCGUGACGGCGCGAGCAGGUGCGAAAGCAGGUCAUAGUGAUCCGGUGGUUCUGAAUGGAAGGGCCAUCGCUCAACGGAUAAAAGGUACUCCGGGGAUAACAGGCUGAUACCGCCCAAGAGUUCAUAUCGACGGCGGUGUUUGGCACCUCGAUGUCGGCUCAUCACAUCCUGGGGCUGAAGUAGGUCCCAAGGGUAUGGCUGUUCGCCAUUUAAAGUGGUACGCGAGCUGGGUUUAGAACGUCGUGAGACAGUUCGGUCCCUAUCUGCCGUGGGCGCUGGAGAACUGAGGGGGGCUGCUCCUAGUACGAGAGGACCGGAGUGGACGCAUCACUGGUGUUCGGGUUGUCAUGCCAAUGGCACUGCCCGGUAGCUAAAUGCGGAAGAGAUAAGUGCUGAAAGCAUCUAAGCACGAAACUUGCCCCGAGAUGAGUUCUCCCUGACCCUUUAAGGGUCCUGAAGGAACGUUGAAGACGACGACGUUGAUAGGCCGGGUGUGUAAGCGCAGCGAUGCGUUGAGCUAACCGGUACUAAUGAACCGUGAGGCUUAACCUUACAACGCCGAAGG